GGAAGGGUGAAAAGUACCCCGGGAGGGGAGUGAAAGAGUUCCUGAAACCGGUCGCAUGCAAGCCGUCAGAGCCUGUGUGGUGAUGGCGUGCCUUUUGAAGAAUGAGCCUGCGAGUUAGUGCUAUGUGGCGAGGUUAACCCGUGAGGGGAAUCCGUAGCGAAAGCGAGUCCUAAUAGGGCGAUUGAGUCGCAUGGUCUAGACCCGAAGCGAAGUGAUCUAUCCAUGGCCAGGCUGAAGCGCGGGUAAGACCGCGUGGAGGGCCGAACCCACUUGGGUUGAAAACCGAGGGGAUGAGCUGUGGAUAGGGGUGAAAGGCUAAACAAACCUGGAAAUAGCUGGUUCUCUCCGAAAACUAUUUAGGUAGUGCCUCAAGUAUCACCAUCGGGGGUAGAGCACUGUUAUGGCUAGGGGGUCAUCGCGACUUACCAAACCAUUGCAAACUCCGAAUACCAGUACGUACUAUCCGGGAGACACACGGCGGGUGCUAACGUCCGUCGUGAAAAGGGAAACAACCCAGACCCACAGCUAAGGUCCCAAAUUCACUGCUAAGUGGAAAACGAUGUGGAAAGGCAUAGACAGCCAGGAGGUUGGCUUAGAAGCAGCCACCCUUUAAAGAAAGCGUAAUAGCUCACUAGUCGAGUCGGCCUGCGCGGAAGAUGUAACGGGGCUCAAACUAGGAGCCGAAGCUGCGGAUUUAAUUGUUUCAAUUAAGUGGUAGGGGAGCAUUGUGUAAGCCUGUGAAGGUGUGUUGUAAAGCAUGCUGGAGGUAUCACAAGAGCGAAUGCUGACGUGAGUAACGACAAUGCGAGUGAAAAGCUCGCACGCCGGAAGACCAAGGGUUCCAGUCCAACGUUAAUCGGGGCUGGGUGAGUCGACCCCUAAGGCGAGGCCGAAAGGCGUAGUCGAUGGGAAAUCGGUUAAUAUUCCGAUACUUGUUUAUGAUGCGAUGGAGGGACGGAGAAGGUUAUGCCAGCUUGGCGAUGGUUGUCCAAGUGGAAGGAUGUAGUUAGGUUUAGUAGGCAAAUCCGCUAGACUAUUAAUGAGAUCUGAUAGCAAGCUGUACUUGUACAGCGAAGUGGCAAAUACCCUGCUUCCAGGAAAAGCUUCUAAGCGAUAGUCAUAAACAAAUCGUACCCUAAACCGACACAGGUGGUCAGG
rnacentral:rRNA from 1 species